CCAAUGUGGAAACUCCAGAAGGCCACUCUCCUGGGCUCUGUCCUGGUGGCAUAGGGGAGUGUGGACUCGGUCCCUUUCCACUCCCUGUCCAUGAAGCUGAAUUCUGCUCCUAUGCACCCUGUGACCUCCCAGGGCCCUGUGGAGGAGGACUGAGGAGACAGCCAUGCAGGGAACAAUC
rnacentral:snoRNA from 14 species